rnacentral:tRNA from 1 species
GGGGAAUUAGCUCAAGUGGUAGAGCGCUCGCUUAGCAUGUGAGAGGUAACGUGAUCGAUACCCGUAUUCUCCU